rnacentral:piRNA from 1 species
UGAACCCCAAGGGCUCUCGUGUC